rnacentral:rRNA from 1 species
UACGAAGGGGGCUAGCGUUGCUACGGAAUCACUGGGCGUAAAGGGCGCGUAGGCGGCGUUUUUAAGUCGGGGGUGAAAGCCUGUGGCUCAACCACAGAAUGGCCUUCGAUACUGGGACGCUUGAGUAUGGUAGAGGUUGGUGGAACUGCGAGUGUAGAGGUGAAAUUCGUAGAUAUUCGCAAGAACACCAGUGGCGAAGGCGGCUCACUGGCCCGAUACUGACGCUGAGGCACGAAAGCGUGGGGAGCAAACAGG